rnacentral:rRNA from 1 species
GAUGAACGCUGGCGGCGUGCCUAAUACAUGCAAGUCGAGCGAACAGACGAGGAUCUUGCUCCUUUGACGUUAGCGGCGGACGGGUGAGUAACAUGUGGAUAACCUACCUAUAAGACUGGGAUAACUUCGGGAAACCGGAGCUAAUACCGGAUAACAUGUUGAACCGCAUGGUUCAACAGUGAAAGACGGUCUUGCUGUCACUUAUAGAUGGAUCCGCGCCGCAUUAGCUAGUUGGUAAGGUAACGGCUUACCAAGGCAACGAUGCGUAGCCGACCUGAGAGGGUGAUCGCCCACACUGGAACGGAGACACGGUCCAGACUCCUACGGGAGGCAGCAGUAGGGAAUCUUCCGCAAUGGGCGAGAGCCUGACGGAGCAACGCCGCGUGAGUGAAGAAGGUCUUCGGAUCGUAAAGCUCUGUUAUUAGGGAAGAACAAAUGUGUAAGUAGCUAUGCACGUCUUGACGGUACCUAAUCAGAAAGCCACGGCUAACUACGUG